ensembl:lncRNA novel transcript, antisense to ERCC4
AACCCAGAAGCGGAUGGAUGAUAGUGAGGGGUUCUUUCAGGAUUCCGAAAGCAGCAUCCGAUGACAAAUUUACAUCAAAUUCUUCAUGCUUAAUUUCUUCCGGGCAGCUUUCUGGGCUACUGCUUAUUUCUCGACGAUAUCCUUCCUCGACAUCUCCUUCCUCUUCCAGUUCUUCAGGUUUUCCUACCAUUUGAGUUAAGGUCAACUUCCGUUUUUUCUUUUUGAGGGUUCUUUCUUUGGUAGAAGCCCGUUCUUUGUUUUGGGGGUCUUUAGGUCUUUUGUGAGAUUUCCUAAUUCUCUUUGAACUGUCUUCCUUCCUAAAUUUCAUCCAGACUUCUUCAGCUUUGCUAUCCUUCUCAAAGGUUUUCCUGUAGAGCCUCAAUAAGAAGGCCUCCGCUCCAAGAGUGAUAUAGUCUCUCAGCUGGGAACAUGUUCGGUCAUCACUUGCACAAAUCAGUACUUGACCUGAAAAUAGAAAACAACAUUAUGUUACUAUUACCUCACUUGUCCUCCUAGUUUCCCUGUGCCCCCUUAUUCCUUCACCCGAAGGGAAGACAUCUUACCCUUUGGUAUUAAAGAUCCACAAUUUACAAACUAUUUAAAAAGGGUCUUAGGUAUUGAUCAAAUGCUUUCUCCUCUCUGGCAAGAUUACUUAAAUCUUUUCAGUAAAGUUGAAGCCAGACUAUUUAAUCUUAUGAAAGUACAACUGUGGUGUAAUUGGGGCUUUAAAGAAGUUCUUUUUAAUUAAUAUUUUUUUCCAGAGGAUCUCAUAUAUGCCUAAAUUAAUUCCAAAUGGAUUUUUCCUCUUUUGUGAAUUGUGUUAGUCUCCUCUGCCAAUUUAGACAAUGUCUUCAGUUUGUACCGGCUCAUUACAUAUUGAAGUAAUAGAAGAGUUGAGGCUUUUUUGGAAAGAUACUUGGCUGAGGAUAUAAAACAGGAGACCCAUUAGUUUAUUCCUUGGGGAUUCCAGAUUUAAAGCUUGGUGAAUAUGUGUAGAGAUUAGCUCAAUCUUUAAAUAGAAGUUCUAAGAACCCAACUAGUUUAAAAACCUGCUUUCAUGAAUAUACAAUGAUUCAACCUGGAGAAAACAACAUCAAACGAACAGAAAUGAGGUUGCCACUAGGAUCUCAGUGUUCAUUUGCCAUUUAUUUGUCUACAUUUUAUAGAUAAAAUAGCAGUGUUUUAAAAUAGAGACAGGGUUUCACCAUGUUGGUCAGGCUAGUCUUGAACUACUUUUAAAGAGCUAAUUAAAUCAGGACUCAUUUGAUAGAUUUUGGAAGCAAAUGUUUUCAUCUCCUUUUUUCCUACCUGGACCACCAAGAGCUUCACUCUCCUUAUUUUCUGCCUCAAUUUCUUUUAAUACUUCAGUCAGUGCCUCCCACUUUGGGUUGCUUUCUAGGACCAGUUCCUUUUUUGUUUCUGUAGAGAAAUAAAAAUAUCUCAUUCUAUGUGAUAAUAUUUACCCAUAAAGUCUUCCAAAGGCUUUUAAAACAACAGAUAACACGAGCAUCAGUACAUAUGCCCAUUUAUUUAAGCUUUCUUUAUAAUGUUAGAUGGAAUCUGCUUUCCUGAAAAAGAUCUACUUAAGGUGUAAAUGAAAGAUACUUCAAACCAUUAAUAUGGCUUUCAAAAUGCCUUGGUAGAAAGUUAUAUGCAUGGUCACUAAUGAGAGACCAUUCUGUGUUAGUUGUUUCUGUGACACUAUAUAUAAGCAGCUAUACAAAACAAAGGCAUCGGUACACAAUGACAGUAUUUACUAUUUCUAAAAUCCCCAUGACUUUCAUAAUCCUGAACAUGGAUAAAAGUAGACAACAAUUAAAUUUUUUGUUCCUAUACGCAUUCAAACACAAACACAUCAAUAAUAUAUUCAAUUAAGUUUUCUUUAAAAAGAUUUUUUUUUUUUAAGACGAAGUUUCACUCUUACUGCCCAGGCUGGAGGCAAUGGCAUGAUCUCGGCUCGUUGCAACCUCUGCCUCCUGGGUUCAAGCAAGUCUCCUGCCUCAGCCUCCCAAGUAGCUGGGAUUACAGGCAUGUGCCACCACUCCUGGCUAAUUUUGUAUUUUUAGUAGAGAGAGGAUUUCACCAUGUUGGUCAGGCUAGUCUCGAACUCCUGACCUCAGGUGAUCCACCUGCACUGGCUUCCCAAAGUACUGGGAUUACAGGCAUGAGCCACCGCGCCCGGCCUCAGUUAAGUUUUGAAACAGACCUUUAAACUAGGCAGAAAGCAGGCAUUAACCCUAUCCCAUGCCUUAAAAAACUAGUGAUAUUUACGGUAUCACUAGAUAAGAUGCUGGAAUAAAACCCAUAUUUGCCUCAUUCUAGUAUAUUUAUGUUGCUUAAAAAUUAAAAAGGAUAUUCAAAUAUUCCAUCCUGACUUUAUUUAUUAGUUUUGAGACACAGUCGUACUCUGUCACCCAGGCUGGAGUAUAGUGGUGUGAUCAUAUCUUGGUGUCACCUUCAACUCCUGGGCUCACCUUAGCCUCUCAAGUAGCUGAGACGAUAAGUGCACAUCACCUCGCCAGGCUACUUUAAAAGUUUUUGUGUUUUUUUUUUUUUUUUUUUUUUGAGACCGAGUCUCACUCUGUUGCCCAGGCUGGAGUGCAGUAGUGUGAUCUCAGCUCACUGCAACCUCCGCCUCCUGGGUUCAAGUGAUUCUCCUGCCUCAGCCUCCUGAGUAGCUGGGAUUACAGGUGCCCGCCACCACGCCUGGCUAAUUUUUGGUAUUUUUAAUAGAGACGGGGUUUCACCAUAUUGGCCAGGCUGGUCUCAAACUCCUGACCUCAGGUGAUCGGCCUGCCUCAGCCUCCCAAAGUGCUGGGAUUACAGACGUGAGCCACUGAGCCCAGCCUUAAAAUUUUUUUUGUAGAGAUGGAGUCUUGCUUUGUUGCCCAGGAUGGUCUUGAACUCCCGGGCUCAAGCAAUCCUCCUGCCUCGGCCUCCCAAAGGGCUGGGAUUAUAGGUGUGUGCCACCAUGCCCCAACCUCAUUCUGACUCAAAAAUAAUAAUUACUUUGAAGUUCUAAAAAAAUCAAUAUAUAGCUCCUCAUGUAGCAUACUUUUGAUCAAUAUUUGACAUCUGUUAUUUGGAAGCCCUGGGCAAUAGACUGCAAGACUUGCCAUGCUGUAUACUUCGACAUACAUUACACAUAUACUUUACAUAUAUACUUUCAACAUACAUUACAUGUUACAUAUAACAAACAUACAUACAUUUAUCUUCAAGGAACACACUUUUCACAUGGCCAAAGAAGACUUUAAAUUGCACUUUAAAUUUCCAUACCAAAUACCGAAAUAAAAAACACAUUUAAAGACUUAACCCCACAAGAUACCUUCCCCUUCUUUAAUUUCCAUUUUUUCAGAUAUUUUUUCUUUUUUACUCAUUUUGGCAUCUGGAAGAUGAUAAACCCUUGCUCGAGCAUUUAUAAACAUCGAGGUGCUGGAGUCAAGAAACAGCCAACCUAAUACGAAAAGUUAAAAGAAAAAGUGCCAUCAAUUUAUGGUUAAUUUAAAACAGUCUCUGAUGGUCACAUGACCUACAUACGUAACUGGCUGUCAUCCUGUCUUCCUACCAACCACACCGCCUCCCACUACUGUGAUCUGUCGCUGUUCAGCUGGACCAGUGGUUUUCUGGGUGUGGUCCGUGAACUCCCAGGGGCCCCCAAGAUAUUUUCAGGGCUAUGUGAUGUCAGAACUUUUCUCGUAACAAUACCAUGACAUUAUUUGACUUUUUUCACUGCGUUGACAUUUCCAGUGAUGGCGUAAAAGCAAGUUAUUUUAAUAUUUGCAAUGUUGUUAAUAGGAAUUUGCUGUUAUUUAAGAAUAAAAUUGGAGGUCAUUUAAAACACAGCUUCUUUGGUUUACUGGAAAGUAAUAAUUUAUAGGAAAAUAUGUGGAUUGGCAUAUAAGCAUCACUCUGACUUUUGCAGUUAUAUAGUAAGUGGUUAUCUCUUAUUUUAACUAUAAUCAAGAGGAAAAUAAAUAACAUUUUUUACUUUGAAAUGACAACAUUUGGAUAUCUACAGGUAGAAGAGUUUUACAUAAGAAUGCUCCAUAAUUGUACAUGCUGGUGCCGUAGCAUGAACCAAGGCAGUGCCAUGAAAGUGUACUGGCAUUCAGUGCAUUCUUUACUGUCAUGCUUCUGCAGUUCAUCACUUAAGAAUGUCCCUAAAGAACCAUCAGAAUUAUUAACUGUAUUAAAUCUUGACCCCAGGGGUUCACGGACCACACUUUGAAAACCGCUGGUCUGGUCAAACAGUGACAGAGGCCAAAACAGUGGUAGCCAAACGAGAUGGUGGCCAGCUGUAUAUGUAUAUUUCCCUAAAAUCUCUUCUGCUCUUCAGUCUUUGGCACUCUAGCUGAUGGAAGCCCCAUACUCCCUUGCUUUUGCUUUGAGGAAAAUGAAUUUUAAGUUCUUAACAACUAAACUUCCAGAACACAACCUAUUUCUAAGUUGAGGACUGCCUGUACUACACACAGUCUUUUCUAGAAAUAAAAUUGCCCGGAACGGAUAUGAAUAUUUAUUAUUAUACAGAACAGACGUUAAGUAGGCGGAAACAUUAGCUAUCAAUAAAACCUACAUCUUUGUGCUAUGAACAUAAAACAUAAUUUGAAAUCUCAGUAUAACAUAUAGUUGAAUAUAGCACUUUUCACACCUGAUUCCCCCUAAAACCUAACACUUUAUUCAAAUCAGCUCUUAGAAUAUUAUUAGUAUUUUAAUCUCCCACCUGAAUUCUGACCAAAAGCUUUUUCCGUUGCUCUCAGAGAUUCCAGAAGAUUAAGAAAUGUGACACAAUCAUACUGAGAGAGAUACUGCAGCAAAGUUCGUAAUAUCUUCAAAUCCUGAACUAAGGAUUUAGUCUUGGCUCCAAGCUGGUGCCACAAAGGAUCCAGAUAAUGGCGGAUUGUCUAAAACAAGAAUAAAAUUUGGUAUUGCUAAAA